rnacentral:lncRNA from 10 species
UCUCCUUCUAAGGGGAUGGCUUCCUUCCAAGGAAGGGGCAACAAGAGCUGCAGAAAUGUGAUUUUGUUCCAGUGAGGGAGAACUUAUCCCUUCACACACGAUCACAGCAGAGGCCUUAAAGCAGGAGACCCCCCCACCAGUCAGAGGCCAUUGGUGAACCCAUCCUCGUCACCUGGAGAAUCACCUUCUGAAGUCUAUGUCUGUUCUCCCCUUACAGGCUUGUGUAAGGAAGGCCCCUCCUUUAGGGCUGAGUUCCAUGUUUAGCACUGUGUUGGGCCAUCAGCAUAGAAUGCUUAUUCUUUAUUUUUCUUCCCUUUCCUAGGGCAGAUACUAAGAGGGGGAUGGCAGUGGCAGGGAGGCUCUUUGAUUAGAGUGACUUAGACUUUCCACUAAUGCCUGAGGGGAAUUCUGGGCAGGGAGAUCUGACAUCAUGUCAUUUCAAGUGCACAGUCCUCCCCGUCCCCUCUUUCUUCAUGUGCUUCAAGAAUAUUCUCAGUAAAUGGGACCUGGCUGGCAGCACUCUGGUUACAAUUGGAGUUUUUCCACAACUGGUAUUGCUUUUGACAUGGACAUCAACUGAGCUGGGCUACAAAUCUAGUUGAGGCUUAAGGAAAAUACUGAGCUCAGUUAUGGACACCACACUUUAAGAUGGACUUUGACAAACAUCCGUGCUCCCGGUAUCCCAGUCAAGUUGGGUGAAUUCUCCCCUGAAAUUCUUCCAUCACUCCUGAAGCAAAGAGGCAAGCCUUGAUGAAACAAAAGGAGCCCAAGUUUUGAGAUCAGACAGACUUGGGUUUGAAUCUCAACACUAUCCCUUCCUGGCUGUGUGACUUUGGAUAAGACCCGUGAACUCCCUGAACCUGAGCUGCAACCGUAAGCCAGAACACAUAUAAAGUGCUGAAUAAAUGGCAGCUGUCAGAAUUCUUAUUUAAUAUGUGCAUCCCAUUGGGUUGUACAUUUCUGCUGAUGCAUCAUUUUUUUCUGAGAUUCCCCAAGGCUGGACUGUGUCUUGUUCAACUUUGUCUUCGCAGUGCCCCUUGAUAAGUAUAAGAAUGCGCUAAGAGUUGGAAGCAUGAAUAAAUCAUCUUGUA